GCCUUAGUGAGCCUGCACAGGGCGGCAUGCGCGAGAGUGGGGGCGCCCUCCCACUCUGUGCCAGCAGUACUUCAUUUACCAGAAUCCCAGCCCUGGGCCCCAAGGUUCAAGCCAGAAGCUUGGAGCCCUGCUGCUGUGUGAGAAGUAGACUCUGGGGACAGGAAUCCAUCCCUGCCAGUGUCACCUACAACCUGGCUCCUCAGCCUGAGACCAAGACCACUGUCCUGUAUCUGCUGAGGCCAAGCAGCCCAGAGACGGAGCAGAGUGGCAGGUGAUGGAGCCCGAGGCACCAGACUGUAAAUUUCAUGAUGUGGUGCCCAGUCCGUGGAGUACUUGUUAAAUGAAUGGAUGAACAAACAGCCUCCCACAAAAG
rnacentral:lncRNA from 1 species